AUUGAACGCUGGCGGCAGGCUUAACACAUGCAAGUCGAGCGAGCGGCGGACGGGUGAGUAAUGUCUGGGAAACUGCCUGAUGGAGGGGGAUAACUACUGGAAACGGUAGCUAAUACCGCAUACCAUCAGAUGUGCCCAGAUCGGAUUAGCUAGUAGGUGGGUUAAUGGCUCACCUAGGCGACGAUCCCUAGCUGGUCUGAGAGGAUGACCAGCCACCCUGGAACUGAGACACGGCCCAGACUCCUACGGGAGGCAGCAGUGGGGACUAUUGCAGUAUGGGCGCAAGCCUGAUGCAGCAAUGCGGCGUGUGUGAAGAAGGCCGUCGGGUUGGAAAGCACUUUCAGCUAGGAGGCGUUACUCGCAGAAGAAGCACCGGCUAACUCCGUGCCAGCAGCCGCGGUAAUUC
rnacentral:rRNA from 1 species